AUGUUGAGAUUUGGGCAGCAUCUCAUCAAGCCCUCUGUGGUCUUCCUGAAGACGGAGCUCUCCUUUGCUCUUGUGAACCGGAAGCCAGUCGUCCCAGGGCGUAUCCUUUCAACCAGAGCCUCAAUCAUGAGCGCGUAUGGGCCGUUCAGCGUUCUGUGGAAAAGUGGGAGAUACUCUGCACGUUCUGAAGGCCAGGCUUGUCUACCACAUUUCAUUCUCAUAUUUACACAGGAUGAAAAAAAAAAAAAAAAGCCUGAAACAGAAUAUUGCAGUGAUUCAAACCCCUUUCAUCUGAGAGUCUCUCAGCGUGUUAUUCACCAUAUCACACCAGAACGGAUCACACCCCUCCGAUUUAAUUGGCAAAUCCCAUUGUUAUGAGACCUCGACGUAUACUAAAGUGUCUCUAUUUUGCAAUGAGCACGCAAUGUGCUAUUCUCUGUUGAGCACAAUGAAUAUUUAUAUUCUUCCGCUCUUCYCUGGGAGAUUCAGAAUUGUUUUAUGGUAGCUGCAUCCUUCAGGACUCCUUCAUUUUGUUUCCCAUUUCAAGCCUUAAAUAUUUUCAGUGAUUGUGAAAAUGUGUCUCAUCAGUUUCUUCUGUCACUGUCGG
rnacentral:lncRNA from 1 species